rnacentral:sRNA from 1 species
AGGCUUAUGCUAUAAUCAAAUUUGACAGUGAAGUUGAAUGACGGUGGUUACUUUUCGAAAGGUGGUGGUGCUUAUGAAUGUAAGUACUGGACGCUACGAAAGGAGUAACCUUUUUGUCCGCAUAGGAAACAAUUCAAAUCAUUCUCGGCUUUGGUAUGUUUACCAUCGCAUUGAUUGGUUUGAU